rnacentral:lncRNA from 1 species
UAAUAUCUUCUGGUAUGAUCAUAUCUCUGGUUAGUCCUAUUUUUACAACUUGUAUAACUGAUUUUAUUUCGUCAUAUAAUAUCUCUGCUGGUGCAGUAUAACACUUUAUGUAAAAUAGAUUUCCUUUCGUUAUCCUUUUGUAGGUGGUGAAUAUCUUGUGUAAUUCUUUCAUAGAUGUUAAUUCUUCUCCGUCUUGGGUGUAUAUGGUGUUUAAUAGUCCAUAGUAAAAUAAUUGGACACAAAUAUCCAGAUCACCAAUGUUCAAGAUGUAAUGGAGAAGAUAACAUUAUUCCAGAAGUACAUCUAGAAUAAAAAUCAAGAAGACAAAAUGCCAGCUGGAAAGAUAAGAUAAGAAGUAAUAAUGGAGAUAUAGCAGAUACGACAACAUCAACGGAGACAAGAUAUUGAAUUCAUUGUAUAUAUUUUUUAGUCUUUACGAAUUGUAAUUAUUGCCUAUAUAGACUUUUCUAGACUUGUAGAAAUUUUUAAGGCUAUGUAGACUUUAGACUUUUUAGGGUACUAGCCUUUUUGACUUAUAGGUUAGCAUUUAAAAAACGUGUAAAGAUGCUUGUAAAGUUUUUUCGUUCUAUAAAUAAAGGAAACUAAAGGCAUUGCAAGACAAGCCUUCAUGUGUUGAAGCAAUACUCUCU